AAUUGCCUACGGGGCGCAGCAGUGAGGAAUAUUGGUCAAUGGUCGGGAGACUGAACCAGCCAAGCCGCGUGAGGGAGGAAGGUACAGAGUAUCGUAAACCUCUUUUGUCAGGGAACAAAGACUGGGACGCGUCCCCGGAUGAGUGUACCUGAAGAAAAAGCAUCGGCUAACUCCGUGCCAGCAGCCGCGGUAAUACGAAGGAUGCGAGCGUUAUCCGGUUUUAUUGGGUUUAAAGGGAGCGCAGGCGGUCUGUUAAGUCAGCGGUCAAGGCCCGGGGCUCAACCCCGGCCCGCCGUUGAAACUGG
rnacentral:rRNA from 1 species